rnacentral:rRNA from 1 species
AACGUAGGGGACAAGCGUUAUCCGGAUUUACUGGGCGUAAAGCGCCCGUAGGCGGCUUUUUAAGUUGGACGUGAAAGCUCCCGGCUUAACUGGGAGAGGCCGUUCAAAACUGAGAAGCUAGAGUGAGGCAGAGGAGCGUGGAAUUCCCGGUGUAGUGGUGGAAUGCGUAGAGAUCGGGAGGAACACCAGUGGCGAAAGCGGCGCUCUGGGCCUAAACUGACGCUGAGGGGCGAAAGCGUGGGGAGCGAACGGGAUUAGAAACCCCAGUAGUCC